AAAAGCUCGUAGUUGGAUCUCAGCUCCGGCCGGACGGUCCGCCUACCGGUGGUUACUGUUCGUUGCCGAGCGUUCAGGCGGUUAUUCUUGAUGAUCUUCACCGGUUGUCUCGGGUGACCGCCAAGUUUACUUUGAAAAAAUUAGAGUGCUCAAAGCAGACGUGACGUCUGAAUAAUUGUGCAUGGAAUAAUGGAAUAGGACCUCGGUUCUAUUUUGUUGGUUUUCGGAACACGAGGUAAUGAUUAAGAGGGACAGACGGGGGCAUUCGUAUUGCGACGCUAGAGGUGAAAUUCUUGGACCGUCGCAAGACGAACUACUGCGAAAGCAUUUGCCAAGAAUGUUUCCAUUAAUCAAGAACGAAAGUCAGAGGUUCGAAGGCGAUCAGAUACCGCCCUAGUUCUGACCAUAAACGAUGCCAGCCAGUAAUCCGCCUGUGUUCCUCAAAUGACACGGCGGGCGACUUCCGGGAAACCAAAGCUUUUGGGUUCCGGGGGAAGUAUGGUUGCAAAGCUGAAACUUAAAGGAAUUGACGGAAGGGCACCACCAGAAAUGGAGCCUGCGGCUUAAUUUGACUCAACACGGGAAAACUUAUCCGGCCCGGACACAGGAAGGAUUGACAGAUUAAGAGCUCUUUCUUGAUUCUGUGGGUGGUGGUGCAUGGUCGUUCUUAGUUCGUGGGUCGACUUGUCUGGUUAAUUCCGAUAACGAACGAGACUCUAGCCUACUAAAUAGACGUUCCGAUCCUCUUUUGUCGGACGCUCUUCUUAGAGGGACAAGCGGCGUUUAGCCGCACGAGACAGAGCAAUAACAGGUCUGGGAUGCCCUUAGAUGUCCGGGGCCGCACGCGCGCUACAUUGAAGGAAUCAGCGUGUGCUUUCCCUGUCCGAAAGGACUGGGUAACCCGUUGAACCUCCUUCGUGCUGGGGAUUGGCGAUUGUAAUUGUCCGCCAUGAACGAGGAAUUCCCAGUAAGCACGAGUCAUCAGCUCGUGUUGAUUACGUCCCUGCCCUUUGUCCACACCGCCCGUCGCUACUACCGAUUGAAUGAUUUAGUGAGGUCUUCGGACUGGCGCUCGGAUUGGCCUUCGCGGUCGAGCCGGUGUGCCGGAAAGAUGACCAAACUUGAUCAUUUAGAGGAAGUAAAAGUCGUAACAAGGUUUU
rnacentral:rRNA from 1 species